rnacentral:rRNA from 1 species
GACGAACGCUGGCGGCGUGCCUAAUACAUGCAAGUCGAGCGGACAGAAGGGAGCUUGCUCCCGGAUGUUAGCGGCGGACGGGUGAGUAACACGUGGGUAACCUGCCUGUAAGACUGGGAUAACUCCGGGAAACCGGAGCUAAUACCGGAUAGUUCCUUGAACCGCAUGGUUCAAGGAUGAAAGACGGUUUCGGCUGUCACUUACAGAUGGACCCGCGGCGCAUUAGCUAGUUGGUGAGGUAACGGCUCACCAAGGCGACGAUGCGUAGCCGACCUGAGAGGGUGAUCGGCCACACUGGGACUGAGACACGGCCCAGACUCCUACGGGAGGCAGCAGUAGGGAAUCUUCCGCAAUGGACGAAAGUCUGACGGAGCAACGCCGCGUGAGUGAUGAAGGUUUUCGGAUCGUAAAGCUCUGUUGUUAGGGAAGAACAAGUGCAAGAGUAACUGCUUGCACCUUGACGGUACCUAACCAGAAAGCCACGGCUAACUACGUGCCAGCCGCCGCGGAAAUACGG